GCCUUUUUGAGUCCAGAGUGGCAGAAGCUCCAGUCCAGCAUUCUCAGAGGAGCCCUUCCAUGGGAAGCAGUGCUUUGGUUCCUUUCAGGUGCCAGAGCUUCUUUGCCCAGGUGAAUCAAUCACUGGAGAAAGACAGCCUGACCAUCAGAUCAGCCCUUUCUGGGCAGAGACCCCACAGUACCACCCACCUGCUGGCUGGGAGAUCCACACAUCUCCCAAAGCUUCUAAAAGACAAAAGCAUCACAAAAUCAAUCCUUAGUGGUGCAUCUCAGAAGAGGUGUAAGGAGCUGGACUUCAGCAGAGCCAAGAUUGAGCACAGAAGUCGGCAAGAAGAGCAGAGGCAGCUGAAGAGAGAGCAGCAGCAAGAGGCAGAUGGCACCCGCCGCCAGCUGCGCAGGGACAGCCAGAGGUGAUGCUGGGAACUGACUGCUUUUUGUGCUAAAGGUUGGAAGGCAGCGAUUGCGUCAGAGAACAUUGCAAGGACUGGAGAAACAGCUGGAGCACGAAGAGAGAGCUUUGCAGCACAUGGCACUGCUCCAGGCUGCUAGGGCUGAGAGGAGCAGGAAGGAAUCCUGCUCUCGAGAGGAGGAGGAGAGGAAGGCAAGGCAGAGGCUUCAGUUCUUAAAGACACGGCGUUUGCAGAGAGAGGAGUUGCAGGCAGAAAGCAACAACAGGAGCUGUGAACAAGAGAAAAAAAGGCUGGAGCUGCUGAGGAGCAGAAUGCAGUCACGGCAGGAAGUGCUGGAACAAGAAUCCCAGGAGCAGAGCAAACAUCAAAACCAGCACCAGGCUGCCAAAGUGAGAGUGUUCCAGAGGAGAGAGAGUUCUCAUCUGAAGAUGGAAAAAGAAGGGCAGAAGCUCCAUGCCCUCCAGCAGUACCUCAGGGAAGAGAAGCUCCUGCUGCUCCGAGCAUCCCUGCUCGAGUAAGGAGGCUGCACAGUGGGUGAGCAGGGCCUGGAGCAGUUCACAGACCUGCUGUGUGCUGUCACCUGUGAGUCAGUGUGCCAGAGCAGAGUGUGACAGGUGGCAUUUGGAUUCCUGGAGAGGUCUCUAAUCUCCCUUUCACUGCAGCCAGAGUGCAAUUCCACUGUUCUGUCCUUCACCUGCCUUUCUUCCUGGGGUCACUGGCUUCCCCCUCUCCUGAGAGGGAGCAGUAGGGCACAUCUACAGGCACUAUUCUGCACCAGAAAGGAGGGGGUUUUUAGUGCAUUGUACUGUGGUGAGUGGAGAUGCCAAAGGACAGGAGGAGGAGGUUAAGCUUAUCACAUCCUGAAGUGCUCCCUUUACCUCACAUCAUCUGAGGUACAAAAUUCUCUGUAGCUGUGCCACAGGAAAUGCACUGAUCAGCUCUGAGUAACCAGAAAUUUCAGCCAGGUAUUUAGGAAAGGAGAAUGGACACAGCACAAUUUAUUUGGUGAAACAGUCAGAGCUAUAUGGAAAUAUCUUUAUUUUACACAGAAUUAUGCUAAAAUGAAUACAAUAUAUGUGAUACCUUGUUUCAAGGAAUGCCUGGAACCAAACUAGAUAAAAAAUUCAAACUUGGCCUGACAUUCUGUAUACACUUAGAAACAUGAUACACAUUUUCUGGCACAUUAUAAAACUUUAUGCCUCCUUCUAGAAUAUAGCAACAGUGAUAAUGGCAGUUUCUUUAAAAAAAAAACCAAAAAAGUAAAAUUGUAAGAAAACUUGUAAAAGGGAGCUCCUUUGAAAUCCUGCCAAAUCUGAAUGGCCAGCAGUUUCCAAGCAGUAAGUGUCAGACUGCAUUCCUCUAGGGAUAAUAGAGAGGCUAUGCCUUCAGCUUUUCCCUAAAAAGAGAAAGUUAAGUCUCUCAUUCAGAUGUUUACAAACUACUCUGAGACCUGAAUAGCUAAAAUGGGUAUUUUUAAACUUUAGGAUCCAUAAUGUAUGUGCAUGAGCCUUCCUGAGAUUUUUGCCUCAAGGGGAAAAAAAAAAAGGGAAAAGGAAAAAUGAACUUAAAUAGAAGGUGAAGGCUUUAACAAAAUGUCAGAGUUAGGACCUGAAAAAAAUGUAACUUGCUUCAGAAUAUGGAAACUGCAUGUGAGGCACAGUUUUGCAGUUUAGACAUGAAAUCUCAUCAUUUGGAACAGUUCCACUCUGCUGAGUGUCUGGAAAAGUUGGCUGGAAUUUGCUCAGCAAGAACAUGGAUGGUUGUGUCCCAGACCUGGCACACACCCUGCUGAGGAAACGUGGGUGCUGGUGGCACAUGGAGAUUUUCUUCAGGGUAGUGUUUGGGGGGUUGCUUGCUGCUCUUCUUGUUUGAGUUCUCUUUUACAUAAAAUCUUGUGCUGGUUAGGAUGAUGCUCUGCCUCCUUAUGACUCUAGACUUAAAGAAACAAGCCUAAAACUUACAAGGUGUUAAACUCUGCUCCUGCUUUUAUCCUUAUGCACUUGGAAAUGGAAUACGCAGUGAUUAAAGGAAAGUACAUGAAAUAUACUGAGUUGAAUCUAAACUUAUUUUUCAGACUUCAUUUAUAUGCUAUUAAUCAUUGCUUUAUAAUCACCAUAAAACAGCAGAUUGUCUGCUUAUGCACUUUCUCUUCAUUGCUUAACCACUUGAGAACAGACUGCUGCAGACACCCUGCUCUACUGCUAUUUCACACAGGGUAGGUCUGGGAAUAUAUUCAGAACCACAUUAUUUCCAAUCAUUCAUAGACUGUAUUUCUCACUAUUAAAAUGCAGCCAUAAAAUCAUUUUAAUACUGCUAUUAAAAUAAUUGACUGUAAAUGCCACGUGUAAUCCAGCUCUUCUGCUAGCUUUAUUUGGUUUUAAACAUUCGCAGUGUGAUUUUGAUUCAUCAGGAAAAUGCUUGGACUCUGGUUUGAAACCUACUGGAAAAAAUACCCUAAGUAUCUGCAUAUCAGUUAAGGUUUUGAGUAGAGUGGGGAGCACCAGGGAGGGUAGUAGAGAAAAUCACACAGAGCAGAAAAAAAUAAACCUCUUCAGUUUCAGAAACA
ensembl:lncRNA